GAGUAGUGCUAAGUAUAUAAUUUUUGGAUCAUUUUAAUUACUUAUCUUACAUCAUUUUAAAUCUUGUAUUUUCAUCCAUAAUUUUAUAAUUAAUUUAGUAAAUCUAUUUAUUUUUAUUUUCAGAGAGCAUACAUCAUAUCUUCUAGAGGUCGAAACCAUGCUAGCCGAGGACAGAGCUCUCGAGAAGAGUGCGAUCAUGUGGCCAGCUCGCAUGGUUCUGCACCUCUCUCACUGGGC
rnacentral:lncRNA from 1 species